rnacentral:rRNA from 1 species
AGAGUUUGAUCAUGGCUCAGGAGCGAACGCUGGCGGCAGGCUUAACACAUGCAAGUCGAGCGGGCGUAGCAAUACGUCAGCGGCAGACGGGUGAGUAACGCGUGGGAACGUACCUUUGGUUCGGAACAACACAGGGAAACUUGUGCUAAUACCGGAUAAGCCCUUACGGGGAAAGAUUUAUCGCCGAAAGAUCGGCCCGCGUCUGAUUAGCUAGUUGGUAGGGUAAUGGCCUACCAAGGCGACGAUCAGUAGCUGGUCUGAGAGGAUGAUCAGCCACAUUGGGACUGAGACACGGCCCAAACUCCUACGGGAGGCAGCAGUGGGGAAUAUUGGACAAUGGGGCAACCCUGAUCCAGCCAUGCCGCGAGAGUGAUGAAGGCCCUAGGGUUGUAAAGCUCUUUUGUGCGGGAAGAUAAUGACGGUACCGCAAGAAUAAGCCCCGGCUAACUUCGUG